GCACUUUAAGCAGUGAAGAAGACUCUGUGGUUAAUACCCACAGACGAUGACAUUAGCUGCAGAAUAAGCACCGGCUAACUCUGUGCCAGCAGCCGCGGUAAUACAGAGGGUGCAAGCGUUAAUCGGAAUUACUGGGCGUAAAGGGAGCGUAGGUGGCUCGAUAAGUCAGAUGUGAAAUCCCCGGGCUUAACCUGGGAACUGCAUCUGAAACUGUAGAGCUAGAGUAUGUGAGAGGGAGGUAGAAUUUCAGGUGUAGCGGUGAAAUGCGUAGAGAUCUGAAGGAAUACCGAUGGCGAAGGCAGCCUCCUGGCAUCAUACUGACACUGAGGCUCGAAAGCGUGGGUAGCAAACAGGAUUAGAUACCCUGGUAGUCCACGCCGUAAACGAUGUCUACUAGUCGUUGG
rnacentral:rRNA from 1 species